rnacentral:tRNA from 1 species
GUGGCUGUAGCUCAAUGGUAGAGCAUCGGUCUGUGGAGCCGAGUGUUGCGGGUUCAAAUCCCGUCAGUCACCCA